rnacentral:rRNA from 1 species
CGUUUGUGGGGGCCUUAACCAUGCAAGUCGAGCGGUAGCACAGAGAGCUUGCUCUCGGGUGACGAGCGGCGGACGGGUGAGUAAUGUCUGGGAAACUGCCUGAUGGAGGGGGAUAACUACUGGAAACGGUAGCUAAUACCGCAUAAUGUCGCAAGACCAAAGUGGGGGACCUUCGGGCCUCAUGCCAUCAGAUGUGCCCAGAUGGGAUUAGCUAGUAGGUGGGGUAACGGCUCACCUAGGCGACGAUCCCUAGCUGGUCUGAGAGGAUGACCAGCCACACUGGAACUGAGACACGGUCCAGACUCCUACGGGAGGCAGCAGUGGGGAAUAUUGCACAAUGGGCGCAAGCCUGAUGCAGCCAUGCCGCGUGUGUGAAGAAGGCCUUCGGGUUGUAAAGCACUUUCAGCGGGGAGGAAGGCGUUAAGGUUAAUAACCUUGGCGAUUGACGUUACCCGCAGAAGAAGCACCGGCUAACUCCGUGCCAGCAGCCGCGGUAAUACGGAGGGUGCAAGCGUUAAUCGGAAUUACUGGGCGUAAAGCGCACGCAGGCGGUCUGUCAAGUCGGAUGUGAAAUCCCCGGGCUCAACCUGGGAACUGCAUUCGAAACUGGCAGGCUAGAGUCUUGUAGAGGGGGGUAGAAUUCCAGGUGUAGCGGUGAAAUGCGUAGAGAUCUGGAGGAAUACCGGUGGCGAAGGCGGCCCCCUGGACAAAGACUGACGCUCAGGUGCGAAAGCGUGGGGAGCAAACAGGAUUAGAUACCCUGGUAGUCCACGCCGUAAACGAUGUCGAUUUGGAGGUUGUGCCCUUGAGGCGUGGCUUCCGGAGCUAACGCGUUAAAUCGACCGCCUGGGGAGUACGGCCGCAAGGUUAAAACUCAAAUGAAUUGACGGGGGCCCGCACAAGCGGUGGAGCAUGUGGUUUAAUUCGAUGCAACGCGAAGAACCUUACCUGGUCUUGACAUCCACAGAACUUUCCAGAGAUGGAUUGGUGCCUUCGGGAACUGUGAGACAGGUGCUGCAUGGCUGUCGUCAGCUCGUGUUGUGAAAUGUUGGGUUAAGUCCCGCAACGAGCGCAACCCUUAUCCUUUGUUGCCAGCGGUCCGGCCGGGAACUCAAAGGAGACUGCCAGUGAUAAACUGGAGGAAGGUGGGGAUGACGUCAAGUCAUCAUGGCCCUUACGACCAGGGCUACACACGUGCUACAAUGGCAUAUACAAAGAGAAGCGACCUCGCGAGAGCAAGCGGACCUCAUAAAGUAUGUCGUAGUCCGGAUUGGAGUCUGCAACUCGACUCCAUGAAGUCGGAAUCGCUAGUAAUCGUAGAUCAGAAUGCUACGGUGAAUACGUUCCCGGGCCUUGUACACACCGCCCGUCACACCAUGGGAGUGGGUUGCAAAAGAAGUAGGUAGCUUAACCUUCGGGAGGGCCGCUACCCCACCUU